rnacentral:rRNA from 1 species
CCUACGGGAGGCAGCAGUGAGGAAUAUUGGUCAAUGGGCGCGAGCCUGAACCAGCCAAGUAGCGUGAAGGAUGACUGCCCUACGGGUUGUAAACCUCUUUUAUAAAGGAAUAAAGUGAGGCACGUGUGCCUUUUUGUAUGUACUUUAUGAAAAAGGAUCGGCUAACUCCGUGCCAGCAGCCGCGGUAAUACGGAGGAUACGAGCGUUAUCCGGAUUUAUUGGGUUUAAAGGGAGCGUAGAUGGGUUGUUAAGUCAGUUGUGAAAGUUUGCGGCUCAACCGUAAAAUUGCAGUUGAUACUGGCAGCCUUGAGUACAGUAGAGGUAGGCGGAAUUCGUGGUGUAGCGGUGAAAUGCUUAGAUAUCACGAAGAACUCCGAUUGCGAAGGCAGCUUACUAGCCUGCCACUGACGUUGAUGCUCGAAAGUGUGGGUAUCAAACAGGAUUAGAUACCCCUGUAGUC